rnacentral:misc_RNA from 1 species
CAAUGACAAAAAUAAGAAUAAAAAAUUGUAAAUCAAACUCAAUUGUUCAAAAUGAUGCAAAAACAAAGAUAAAAAUCUGAUUUGACUAGACUAUUAUCAGAACUCAAAAGUCUUACAAAAAGAAUGAAGAAUCCAUUGAGGUUUCAGGUACCAUGAUUUCCUAGAGACAUUGUGAAUGAAAAGGCCAGCUAAUUGCAGCAUUUAUAUCGAUGAAAACUUU